rnacentral:misc_RNA from 1 species
GAUGAAGAACGCAGCGAAAUGCGAUACUUGGUGUGAAUUGCAGAAUCCCGUGAACCAUCGAGUCUUUGAACGCAAGUUGCGCCCGAAGCCAUUAGGCCGAGGGCACGCCUGCCUGGGCGUCACACGUCGUUGCCCCCCCAUCUACUCCUUCGGGAUUGCGGGGGGCGGAUGAUGCCCUCCCGUGCGCCUCGUCGCGCGGUUGGCAUAAAUGCCAAGUCCUCGGCGACGCACGCCACGACAAUCGGUGGUUGCGAAACCUCGGUUGCCCGUCGUGUGCGGUCGUCGCGCAUCGAGGGCUCGAAAAAAUUGCCGGGCUCCGGCUCGGCUUUCAACGCGACCCCAGGUCAGGCGGGGUUACCCGCUGAAUUUAAGCAUAUCAAUAAGCGGAGGA